UACGGAGGGUGCAAACGUUGCUCGGAAUUAUUGGGCGUAAAGCGUGCGCAGGCGGUUAUGCAAGACAGAUGUGAAAUCCCCGGGCUCAACCUGGGAACUGCAUUUGUGACUGCAUGGCUAGAGUACGGUAGAGGGGGAUGGAAUUCCGCGUGUAGCAGUGAAAUGCGUAGAUAUGCGGAGGAACACCGAUGGCGAAGGCAAUCCCCUGGACCUGUACUGACGCUCAUGCACGAAAGCGUGGGGAGCAAACAGG
rnacentral:rRNA from 1 species